rnacentral:rRNA from 1 species
CAUGCAAGUCGAGGGGAAACGACAUCGAAAGCUUGCUUUUGAUGGGCGUCGACCGGCGCACGGGUGAGUAACGCGUAUCCAACCUGCCCACCACUUGGGGAUAACCUUGCGAAAGUAAGACUAAUACCCAAUGACGUCUCUAGAAGACAUCUGAAGGAGAUUAAAGAUUUAUCGGUGAUGGAUGGGGAUGCGUCUGAUUAGCUUGUUGGCGGGGUAACGGCCCACCAAGGCGACGAUCAGUAGGGGUUCUGAGAGGAAGGUCCCCCACAUUGGAACUGAGACACGGUCCAAACUCCUACGGGAGGCAGCAGUGAGGAAUAUUGGUCAAUGGACGAGAGUCUGAACCAGCCAAGUAGCGUGCAGGAUGACGGCCCUAUGGGUUGUAAACUGCUUUUAUAAGGGAAUAAAGUGAGAGUCGUGACUCUUUUUGCAUGUACCUUAUGAAUAAGGACCGGCUAAUUCCGUGCCAGCAGCCGCGGUAAUACGGAAGGUCCGGGCGUUAUCCGGAUUUAUUGGGUUUAAAGGGAGCGUAGGCCGGAGAUUAAGCGUGUUGUGAAAUGUAGAUGCUCAACAUCUGAACUGCGGCGCGAACCGGUUUCCUUGAGUACGCACAAAGUGGGCGGAAUUCGUGGUGUAGCGGUGAAAUGCUUAGAUAUCACGAAGAACUCCGAUUGCGAAGGCAGCUCACUGGAGCGCAACUGACGCUGAAGCUCGAAAGUGCGGGUAUCGAACAGGAUUAGAUACCCUGGUAGUCCGCACGGUAAACGAUGGAUGCCCGCUGUUGGUCUGAAUAGGUCAGCGGCCAAGCGAAAGCAUUAAGCAUCCCACCUGGGGAGUACGCCGGCAACGGUGAAACUCAAAGGAAUUGACGGGGGCCCGCACAAGCGGAGGAACAUGUGGUU